rnacentral:rRNA from 1 species
CCUACGGGAGGCAGCAGUGGGGGAUAUUGCACAAUGGGGGGAACCCUGAUGCAGCGACGCCGCGUGGGUGAAGAAGCGCCUCGGCGCGUAAAGCCCUGUCAGCAGGGAAGAAAAUGACGGUACCUGAAGAAGAAGCCCCGGCUAACUACGUGCCAGCAGCCGCGGUAAUACGUAGGGGGCAAGCGUUAUCCGGAUUUACUGGGUGUAAAGGGGGCGCAGACGGCGAUGCAAGCCAGGAGUGAAAGCCCGGGGCUCAACCCCUUCCCGCCAUUGAAACUGGCGCUAGUGAGUGGAAGAGAAGUAGGCGGAAUGCGUGGUGUAGCGGUGAAAUGCAUAGAUAUCACGCAGAACCCCGAUUGCGAAGGCAGCAUGCCGGCUUCCUACUGACGCUGAAGCACGAAAGCGUGGGGAUCGAACAGGAUUAGAUACCCGAGUAGUC